rnacentral:rRNA from 1 species
UAACACGUAUCCAACCUGCCGUCUACUCUUGGACAGCCUUCUGAAAGGAAGAUUAAUACAAGAUGGCAUCAUGAGUCCACAUGUUCACAUGAUUAAAGGUAUUCCGGUAGACGAUGGGGAUGCGUUCCAUUAGAUAGUAGGCGGGGUAACGGCCCACCUAGUCUUCGAUGGAUAGGGGUUCUGAGAGGAAGGUCCCCCACAUUGGAACUGAGACACGGUCCAAACUCCUACGGGAGGCAGCAGUGAGGAAUAUUGGUCAAUGGGCGAGAGCCUGAACCAGCCAAGUAGCGUGAAGGAUGACUGCCCUAUGGGUUGUAAACUUCUUUUAUAAAGGAAUAAAGUCGGGUAUGGAUACCCGUUUGCAUGUACUUUAUGAAUAAGGAUCGGCUAACUCCGUGCCAGCAGCCGCGGUAAUACGGAGGAUCCGAGCGUUAUCCGGAUUUAUUGGGUUUAAAGGGAGCGUAGAUGGAUGUUUAAGUCAGUUGUGAAAGUUUGCGGCUCAACCGUAAAAUUGCAGUUGAUACUGGAUAUCUUGAGUGCAGUUGAGGCAGGCGGAAUUCGUGGUGUAGCGGUGAAAUGCUUAGAUAUCACGAAGAACUCCGAUUGCGAAGGCAGUCUGCUAAGCUGCAACUGACAUUGAGGCUCGAAAGUGUGGGUAUCAAACAGGAUUAGAUACCCUGGUAGUCCACACGGUAAACGAUGAAUACUCGCUGU